CGUUAAAUUCGAUUUAUAAAGAGCCGGUGAUCCAGAAAGCCGCACAGGAUAGGGUUUCCUCUGCAGGCAGAACCGGCAACCAGACAGGGCGGUGUGUGAGAAGGAAGCAGAACCGUUGGGGAGGCAGGAAGGGCGGAAAAGACGGAGGGUGCACAGCUCGGAGGCUGGCCCGAAGCCAGAAGACGGAGAGCGGGGCAGCCGGGGAGGAAGAGAGGGCGCAGAAGGUGGGAGGGCGAGGGGCGUGCACCGAAGAGCUUCGGGACCCCUCCCAGCAACAGCGGAAGCAUCUUCUCUCUGAGGAUGGGCGUCACCCAAUUUCCAGCUUUAUACGAAGUACCUCAGGACCUUGGACAAAAAGGAAGGUAGCAGGAUGUAGAUUGAGCCCUGAAUUGGAAGUGUCUGAGUUCGGGAUCUCACAUUCUGCGCUGAACCAAUCAGUAGGACUGUGUGUGUCCUUGGGCAUAUCACCUCCAACAAAGAUGGAUCUCUCCAAACCCCUUUCUGCACC